UCAGACAUGGUGUAGUGGGAACACAGCCUUUUAUUCCAGAUGAGAAGUAUAUCUCAGAGGCGGUCCAGGGUUGAAUCCCUUGUGUCUGAA